rnacentral:lncRNA from 1 species
GAAUCAACCAAAGGGCAUAUUAAAACAGUUCUGCCAUCUUCCUGGCCAUACGAUAGAUGAUCGAGAGGUAUUUGGUGAAACAAUGAGAAAAUUAAUGAAUGGGUAGAAGUUAUUUUGUUAUGAGCCCCGGAAGGUGAUGUCUUAACAAGAAAAUCCAAAAAUGUUCCAACUAGUAGAAUACCACUGGAGAAAGUACAGAGUGU